AGACUACGCCUACGGGAGCAGCAGUAGGGAAUUUUCGUCAAUGGGGGCAACCCUGAACGAGCAAUGCCGCGUGAGCGAAGAAGGUCUUCGGAUUGUAAAGCUCUGUUGCCGGGGAAAAAGGAAGGAAAGAGGAAAUGCUUUUCUUUGGAUGGUACCCGGCCAGAAAGUCACGGCUAACUACGUGCC
rnacentral:rRNA from 1 species